CGCGUUCUGCUGUCAGGACACUCUGGUGCUUUUCUCUGACGGUUUUCCUUGGAGUUUUUCUGUCGGUAGCGGCUCUGGGGGAAAAGGCAGGGGUCUGUUUUGAGCUCUGUGAAAUGCCCUCCUUCAAUUGCGAACAUUUUCACUUUACCUUUAUGUCAAAGCGACUGGAGCUGUAACUGACAAGUCAGUCUAAUUACCGAUGGCAGUGAUAAGUGUUUCCUGUAUUAAAGCACCGUUUGGAUUUGGGAUUACAGCUUAUCGUGGCACGGGCGACGUUUGACUGACAUUGACGACAUCGCGUCGACAGGGUGACGACCUAAUCGCUCAUCACAGAUUAAAGUCUCUUGCACGAUACAAGUCAGGCUCCCCAAACAGCCCCACCGCCCAGGCUAAAUUGUUCUAUAGCGGGAAUUGCACUUAGUAGCAAGGAAGCCCACCACCACCGGGUGGCCGGGCCCCUGGGAGAGCGGUCUGUUCAACAUUGACACACGUAGCAAAAGCAGCCCUAGUACAUCCGGUGUUAACAAUUACCUGGUUGUCUGUCAGGUUGGCUAUCUAGCUGUCAGGAUUAUCUCGCUUCUAGCCCGUCAGGAUAUGCAUGUCUCUUGUGGCAAUGAUAUGUGGUUUAUCAGGCUUGAGAGCUAAGGGUUUCUUGACAAAAUGUAUAGCAAAUAUAAGGUAGUUGUCAGGGGGUAUAUGCGCAAAUUGUCUGUUUUGGGCGAACCAUUGAUAAGUAUGAAAUACCACUCUUUAUGGUUUAUUCGUAUGUUAUCGAAGCUUCCAUAAGAUUGCCGGAAAGAAAUGUGUUUUUCUUGCCGUCUGUUGCUUUUAUGUUUCCAUUCAGGGUGCUUAUUCUUAGGUUGUCAGGCUAUUUUUGUAUCGCUUCCGUAGGAUAACAAUCUUGUAUUUUCCCGCCCUCCACUUGGACUAAAUCUGGCCUUUUUCCUGAUAAGAGCGUAGAAGGCUGGCGCCGCGUGUCCCAUCAGAACUACCAGAAACCCCCUAGACUAGACUGGCCCAGCAGCACGCAGGAUGGUGAUUUCUCACAGUAGGUUCCCUAAACCGUGCAGAGCUUUCGAGAAAGCGACUGAUGCGUUGUUUACAAUCUGAUGAGUGCCGUUUGACUGGUGGAUUAUUGGGGCAAGAGGCCCAACGCGAUAACCCAAGUACACGUCAAUCAAGCUAGCUGGCAGUUGGUUGGAUACCACCAUUCUCGUUAAGGAUUAUUAAUCUCAAAUACCACAUGUUGGAUACGAGUAUUAUCUUUGAGGGCUAAUCUAAUACAUACAGUGGCUUCUAGAACAAACCCGUAGCUAAAUAAGCGCGAUUUUGAUAUUGCGUUAGACGCGAGACGUACGUAGUUGUGUGUGCAUAUUUUACCCGUUGAAUUAGAAAAUCGAACAUUCGUAUAAUAUUCGCUGGCAUUUAUUACAUUCGUGUGUCAUGCUCGUUUUCUUCGGUAAUUCAAGAAAGUCAGUCAUUUUGUUACACGUAGAUACGGCACCAGCGAAAAGCUGAAACCUUGUCCACAAGGAAGAGGACCCCGUCUUGACAAGCGACAUGCUCCUCAUUAUAUGUAUCACUUCCUUAAACGCUCAGGCCUUACACACGAAAUGAUAUUCCAUUCUUAUUUGUUUUGCUUGGAUUUCAUAAUUUCCAGAGAUCAGCUUUGCACCUCGACUAAAUUCCCGGCGAAAAUGAAAUAUUUGAAAGUAGCAUUUUCACUACUCCGGACCCCGAGGGUGGCUGUGAUAGCGAGAUACGAGGUUAAGGUGUAUCGCGUUUAUAUUGAUGGGUGCUGAUACCUCGCCUGUUAAACUCACCAUUAAACUAAUUUUCAAAAGUAAAAAAGUUGUUAUUGCUGUUUUGUGCGAUUUUUAUAAUCGGGUGUUGCUUCUAGCAUCAAGCACUGUGGGCGUGUUAGGCUCCAUUGAUUGCUCUUUGGAUAUAAUCUGUUUAAGUUUUACAAGUCUUGACCAUCAUUUGACGUGGGGCUCGUGUCAGAGGUUUUUUUUCUUAGCGACUUAUGAUUGGAAAGGGGAAUAAAUCAACACACUCGCAAUCGCUAGAGUGAUUUAGUUUCGAGCUUCGGCGCUGAAGUACUUUUUAGAUGUGUAUUGUUAAUGUAUAUUUAGAUGUGUGGAAUAAAAUUUCAAUCAGUGUC